AGAAAUCCACUGUCUUAUAGGUGUGGAGGUUAAAAAUCUCAAAUUAGGUGAUUUUUUUUUUUUUUUUUUUUUUUCCUGAGGGAUAGAAGGGAGACUGUCUGGGCCUUCUAGCUUCUAGUAGCCUCCACCAUUGAUAUGUAGGUAGGGUUCUCUCCACUUCUCCCAUGGAUGUGUCUGCCUUCAUGUGCAAAUUUACCUUGUUGAAAGGACAACAGCCGGAUUAGGAUGCAGCCUAAUGACUUCCUCUUAAUUAGCUGCAAAGCCCCUAUUCCCAAAUAAGGUUAAAUCCACAGAUAUUGGCAAUUAGGACGUCAGCAUCAUCCAUAACACAAGACAAGAGGUUAGAAAGGAACACAUGCUAAGUAUCAACAGAGCUCUGGAGACUGGAGAACCUACCUAAGAUGUGGGGCUGGACUUCCAAAAGAGGCUAUCUUGGUAUUGGCAGGUGACAGUGCCUGCACCUGUAGCCAGCCACAGUACUAUCAGUUUUGAAUACAUUUUCCUUCGAUGGAAUUGGAGGGUGAGCUAAUGGGACCAGAGUGUGUGCAGAAAUAUCACCAAAUCGCAAAAUAAUGGAAAACAGUCUACAUCACGAAUUACCCCAUAAACAGAAUGAUCACAGAUCCUUUGUGUUAUGAAAGCCCCACGUGUGCAUUUCUCUAAAUGAAAGUCUCCUGAACUUAAACCCAUGGACAUUUUAAAGAAAAUGCAGUAAGCCAAUGCUUCCUUGGCUAAAAACGUGUCUGUGCUCUGCAAACAAUGAACAGAACCCAGGAAGGGAGAUGCAGACCGCCUGCUGAGCCAGUCCUAGUUCUCUUCCCUGGAAAUCUUGUCCUUGCACAGAACUUCUGGAAACCAAUAAAAGAAAACUAAUGUGCUACCCAGAGCAGAGAAAAUGGAAAUCUGCUGAGUUAAUAUUGUGGGUCAUAAAAGUCACUCAAAGAGAAUUCUUUCAAUAAGGUGCCUACCAUAGUGGUUAUAUAAUUCUUCCAUGAAACUUACUUUUCUCUUUCUGAAAAGAAGUUUUGUUUUUUCUCUCAAAGAAUAAUGGUACUGCUUAACAUCCCCAGAACACAAUGUGAAUGAGCUUUUAAAAUUUUAUUCUAAUUACAAGAGAAAUAUAUUCUGAGUAUAGAAGAUGAGGAACAUAGAGAAAACCCUGAAGGAAUCAAACAACCCUAUUGUGAGAUAAAACUCAGGUAACAUUUUGGGAUAUUUAACAAUGUCUAUUGCCUUGACGCCAAAAAGUCGGCAUUAUUGUUGAACAUUAUUAUUAUUAAAGUUUGGAUGUAUUUCAUUUGAAUGAUGGCUAUAAAUAAAUUUUAAGCAGAAAGC
rnacentral:lncRNA from 1 species